AUCGUUUACUUUGAGGAAAUUAGAGUGUUCAAAGCAGGCGUAACUCGCCUCCGAAUACGUUAGCAUGGGAUAAUGGAAUACGACUUCGGUCUUGUUUCGUUGGUUUCGCUUGGCUGAAGUAAUGAUUGAUAGGGACAGUUGGGGGCAUUAGUAUUUAGUUGUCAGAGGUGAAAUUCUAGGAUUUACUAAAGACUGACCAAUGCGAAAGCAUUUGCCAAGGAUGUUUUCAUUAAUCAAGAACGAAAGUAGGGGGAUCGAAGACGAUCAGAUACCGUCGUAGUCUCUACCGUAAACUAUGCCGACCAGGGAUCCGGAGAGUUUGCAUGGAUGACUCCCCGGGCACCUUGUGAGAAAUCAUAAGUGUUUGGGUUUUGGGGGGAGUAUGGUCGCAAGGCUGAAACUUAAAGGAAUUGACGGAAGGGCACC
rnacentral:rRNA from 1 species